GACGAACGCUGGCGGCGUGCUUAACACAUGCAAGUCGAACGGUGAAGCGCCUUCCUUUUUGGUGGGUGUGGAUGAGUGGCGAACGGGUGAGUAACACGUGAGUAACCUGCCCCCUUCUUCUGGAUAACCGCAUGAAAGUGUGGCUAAUACGGGAUAUUCUGGGUCUGUCGCAUGAUGGGUCUGGGACAGAUAUUGUUUCGGUUGGGGAUGGGCUCGCGGCCUAUCAGCUUGUUGGUGGGGUGAUGGCCUACCAAGGCGGUGACGGGUAGCCGGCCUGAGAGGGUGGACGGUCACACUGGGACUGAGACACGGCCCAGACUCCUACGGGAGGCAGCAGGGGGGAAUAUUGCACAAUGGGCGCAAGCCUGAUGCAGCGACGCCGCGUGAGGGAUGGAGGCCUUCGGGUUGUGAACCUCUUUCGCCAGUGAAGCAGGCCUGCCUCGUUUGUGGGUGGGUUGACGGUAGCUGGAUAAGAAGCGCCGGCUAACUACGUG
rnacentral:rRNA from 1 species